CAGCCAUAGGGGAGAAUGGCUUGCGGGCCUGUAGGGUACAUAACCUGUAUGCGGUUAGGAGAGAGGAUGGCGGCAAGGAGCGUUGGCAGCGCAGGUGUUGAAAAACUAUGAGAUUUUCUACAUUUAGGAGAGAGAAGCCGCAGGAUUUGGAAAUUGGUUAUGGCACCUGGGGAGAGACUGCAAUGUUACACAGGGCACUCCAGCUUUCUGCUUUGGGUAUACCGGUGGAUGGUGGUGCAUUGAGCAAGAUGGGGAAGACUGGAGUUCAGGUUGAGAUGAGGAUAAGGGCUGCGGUCCUGGCCAUUGUGUGGUCCUGGUCCUGUGAGUCAUCUAAGUGGAGAGUCGUGUAGGCCACUGGAUGAGGGCUCAGAGGGCAGGGCAGGGUGGAGAUGUACAUAUGGCAGUUGAGGGCACAAAGAAGAAGCUUGCGUGCACGGACCUGCCCAUGUACAAAGAGCAGAAAAGGCAGCCCAGCCCCAAGGAGCCCUCACGUUCAAAGGUCCUGUCUGCCCCCAAAUGUUGCUAAUUACAGCGUCUCUUGACUAUUUCUCAACAUCCACUACCUGAAAGUGGUUCAGAAGUAGCUCUCCCCCAACACCCGCUUCCCGCAGACACCCACUGCUGGCUCCCAGACCGAGGCUUCCACGGGGAAAGCAGGAGGCUAAGCACAGACACCUGAGACCUGGUCAGACGCAGGGCUCACCACUACUGACCCCGCGCCUCCCUGUCCCGCAGUGCUUCUGGAAGAGUCCAGCGUUCCCUCUUCCGCACCGGCUUGGUCUAACCCCCUCGAUAGACUUAGGGCCCCGUUGCUCUUUGAAGCGUUCGCACCUCCUUUUAACCUGAUUCAGCCACGUAGACAUGUUGGGGGUGAGGCGUAAAAGGGGGCCAUCCUGUCCACAGGGUAACAGGUCGCUUUCAGAAAUGAUUUCAAAAAUCCUGGGUGCCAGGAAGUGGAGAGAAUGAGGUUGGGAGAGGCGCGAGCAUUUGACGAGGUACUGCUCGCUGGGAAACUCCCUUUGCUGGGGGUGGAUCGCAGGGUGGCGGGAUGCUGCCGCGCCCACCCGCUCCGCGUCGCCUCAGCUUCCGGAAACUCCAAGCCCCUCAGUACUCCGGGUCCUCCGAGGUUCCGGAAGAGCGCAGCGGAGCUGGCGGACUGCGCACGGGCUGGUCGUCAGGGCGCAGCGGCGGAGCCGCGGCGAGGCUAGCGCUUUGUUCCACGGUUGGGUCUCGCGCCUUCGGGCGCGUGCAUCCCGGGGACCUGCGGGUGCGGCUCUGCCCCAGGCCCGCGGCGGAGAAGCAGGCGCGGUUCCGUGCGCCCGGAGCAGUCCCGGAACCUGCCAGGCCAGGCCCCCCGAGAAGACAGCUGCGGCGCUCCGAGAUACAAAGAUCAUUGGGAUGUGGAAGCAAAUGGGGAGCCGGCAAAGGGAAAGCGAAAGCCGCGGGCCCGGCCAGUGACCGGGUGAAGGCGUCCCGCUGCCCUUCCGACGCCGGCGGUACCCGGGCCUCGCCUUGUGAGCCUUCCUGGCCCAGCCCGGUGCGCCGCAGCCAUGGCCAUUGCUCACCUGGCCACCGAGUACGUCUUCUCAGACUUUUUGCUGAAGGAGCCCUCGGAGCCCAAGUUCAAGGGGUUGCGGCUGGAGCUGGCCGUGGACAAGAUGGUCACGUGCGUCGCCGUGGGGUUGCCGCUGCUGCUUAUCUCGCUGGCCUUCGCACAGGAAAUCUCGAUUGGUACCCAAAUAAGCUGCUUCUCCCCCAGUUCUUUCUCGUGGCGUCAGGCCUCCUUCGUGGAUUCUUAUUGUUGGGCAGCCGUCCAGCAGAAGGACUCCUUGCAGGGUGACUCUGGAAACCUUCCACUGUGUCUGCAUAAGUUUUUCCCCUACAUCCUGUUACUGGUGGCGAUCCUGCUGUACCUUCCCUCCCUGUUCUGGCGUUUCGCAGCUGUUCCUCAUCUUUGCUCAGAUUUGAAAUUUAUCAUGGAAGAACUUGACAAAGUUUACAACCGCGCAAUUAGAGCUGCAAAGAGCGUGCGUGACCUUGACGUGAGAGAUGGAGCCUGCCCUGCUCGAGAAGUUAAUGAGAACCUGGGGCAAAGCUUGUGGGAGAUACCGGAAAGCCACUUCAAGUACCCAAUUGUGGAGCAGUACUUAAAGACCAAGAAAAACUCCAAAAAUCUAAUCAUCAAGUACCUCAGCUGUCGGGUGCUGUCACUCAGCAUUAUACUGUUAGCAGGCGUCUACCUGGGCUAUUACUUUAGCCUCUCCUCCCUCUCAGAUGAGUUCAUCUGCAACAUCAAAUCUGGCAUCCUGAAAAACGACAGCACUGUCCCCGAUCGGUUCCAGUGCAAACUCAUUGCCGUCGGUAUCUUCCAGUUGCUCAGUUUCAUCAACCUCGUGGUGUAUGUCGUGCUGGCUCCCCUGGUGGUCUACACGCUGUUUGUUCCAUUCCGACAGAAGACGGAUAUUCUCAAAGUGUAUGAAAUCCUGCCCACUUUUGAUGUUCUGCAUUUCAAGUCAGAAGGGUACAACGACUUGAGCCUCUACAUUCUUUUCUUGGAGGAGAAUAUCAGUGAACUCAAGUCAUACAAGUGUCUUAAGGUUCUGGAGAAUAUUAAAAGCAGUUGUCAGGGCAUUGACCCCAUGCUUCUUCUGACAAACCUCGGCACGAUCAAGAUGGACGUGGUUGAUGGCAAAAAUCCUGAGCCCGUGGAGAUGAUGGCAGAGGGACAGGAGGACCAGACGACAGAUCUAAAAGAUUUGAAUGUACACAACGGAACGAAAAUAAAUAAUGGAGAGCAGAAUGCUCGACAGAGACUUCUGGAUACUUCUUGCUGAUGCUUCUUUCCGGUGAACUUCAGAUCAGUGACCUGGGCAACAUGGGAUUCAUUUUGGCUGAAGCACCUCUGGCAGUGACUGUUGGAUGAGAAAAAUUUUCACUGGCUGACUAUGGACCCAUAGGUGGAUCUGCUCCUGGCAGUAUCCUACAUUGGAAGAAUUGAUGGAGCCUCGACUUUCGUACACCAGGCUCUGGAUCAUGCUACCUGUCAACCUUGACCAACCGAGAUCCUCUAACCACUAUGUGAUGCCCUCUUCUGCAAAGGGCAGUGGACCCAAGUGCUGCUCUGACUGAGAACUUCGUUAAUAAGAUAGCAUCGAAGGGAUAUUGUGACUUCCAUACAGGAAAGACUGCUUCUGAAAGAGCCCAGUGGGGAAAGCUGAACAUACAGAACAAGUUAAUCCAAUCAUUUUGGAAGAGGUUGUCUGCAGGGAAGUCCUCUGUUAUCAAAAGCAUUUGAGACAGGAUGUUACUUAAACGAAUUCACAGAACACAGAAGGCUUAAAGUGAGGGACAUUUUGCCUAUUACAAUCAGAACGUAUAAAUGACAUCUGCCACAUGGGUGUGCUUGGAGCCAGAACAACUUCGCAGUUUAUUUAUAUUUAAGAACAUCUUUAAAAAAUUCAUUUAAACUUAGAAUCAUGUGAUGUCAAAAUUGAGGCCAUUGGGGAAGAACAUUCCAGCAUUGAUGGGGAAUUAUAGAAUAAAUGUUACAAAUGGGUCUAUAGUGUAUCACCCAAGCAUUGUUUCAUAAACAUUUAAGGCUGACCCAGAAUAUCAAAAACCUUUUUCCAAUUCUGAUCAUGUAAAUAGAUCCUAUGUUUACAUUUUAUACAAAAUCCUUAAAAAUGACAUCUGUGGACCUCCCUGUUUUUAUUCUUAGAAAGUUAAUACAUCGCUAGUGAAUAAUCCUCAGGAGCUUCAAAGUUUAUGGAUGGCUCUUAGGGACAGUUGUUUACCUAAUCUAAUUACAUAAGCUGCUCUCCACCUUUCAGAAUAUUCACAAAAGCAGAUUUUAUUUGUGCUUCUGUGAUGGUUUCUGAGAUGGAAAGCUAAUGAUAAAUAUCCAGGAUGCAAUCAGUGUUUUAAAUUAUUCUUACUGCAUAAUAUUUAUAAUAAUAGUGUCACUUAGAAAUGUCAGUAACCUAAAUCAUCAGUUUUGCUGCAUUUUUAUAUCACUAUAUCUGAGAUGUUAUAUCACAGUUCUCUACACUGGUUUCUUUUUAUAAUUUGAAAAUUUUCUGUAAUAUAUUUUUCUGUGCUCUCCUUCCUU